GAUUUUUUUUCCAUUUGCCAAUUCAAGAAUGAGUUGUAUUGUACCAGUAGAAGAAUUCAGUUAUGUUAAUUUAUAUAAUUUAUAAACUUUGGCCAAUCAAAUUUACCUAUGGGACCUAUUGGUAUGGUCUAACCAAGGUAAAGUUACCAUUCCUCUUGGUCAAAAAAUUCCUAUGGAGACACAGCUAAGGAAAAUACUUAAGUAGUGCUUAUGGCUAUACAAAAGUAAUGUGGAUGGUAGUUAAUUUGUUAACAAUGGUUGUAUAGUUUAAAUGAACAACUGUUGAUAAACGUUAAUUAGAUUUAUUGUUUGUUUGUUUGUUUUAUUGGUUUUUCCACACACAACAUAAAAAGUAGUGAAUGCAAACUUAAACUAAUAUUACAAAAGUAGAAAAAACUUUUCAUAUAUACUGUAAAUUAGAAAUCAAAUAAAUAAGUGUGUGGAUGGAGACCAAAAUAAGUUUGUACAAACUUUAAGUCAUGGCCACCGGUUAAAAUUAGAAUAAAAUAAAAUUAGAUUUGAUGGCGAACAAAUAACUACUGUAUAGAUGUGAUUAAUCACAGGCAGCCUGGUUUAACAUUUAUUUAAGUUUAAAGACACACUGCACCAUAAAAUAUUUUGUUUGACAUAGUAUAAUUAUGUUUUGAUCUCGUUAGUCUCUUUAUUUAUGUGGGAGCAAUGAGUCUCUAAAAUUAAAAUUACUGGUAAGCAAAAAUAUUAAAUAUUGAGAAAGAAUAUCCAUACAUACAUACAUACAUACACACACGCAUACAUAUUGUACAUAAUACUGUACAUACAUACUGUCCGCACAUUUAUUCAAAUGUAGCUACAGUAACAACAUAAGGAAAUCAACUGAGAAUAAGAUCCAAGAAGUUCAUUACUACACAUACCAGUAAAUAUUUUGCUUUGAUGUUUUCCUUUUGCAUUAAGGAAAUGUUUUCAAUAUAGUUUUGCUAUUUAAAAAAAUCAUAUCAUGUUAUUUAUGUUUGAAAACAACGAAAAGCCUAGGAUUACCAAAAUAAUCACUAUUGCAGGUUUUCUUUUUGGUCUAGUUAGAACAGAUUUACAUGCCAACAACCCAUAAAAAACCUAAUUAACACCAGGCCGACUGCAAUCAACAUUUCACUCAUCGUCCACUGGUAUCUAAACUGCUUCGUAAUUAGCAUAAAUGAUUUUCCUUGGAAUGAACAACUCCCGAUAGGAGAAACACAUUGCCAGCAGUAAAACUAUAACCUAACCUAAUCAAAUAUUAAUAUGCCAGGAGGGUGAACCUCUUCAGGGUGAGUACAUAGUCGCAAACUCUCUCAAGAAGAUAUGCCAAACAGGUUGACCCAAUGACCUAUGCCAGCGGCCAUAACAGUGUCAUUGGUUUUGGCAUGAAAUUCCAUAUGUUGGAUAUAAACUAGUAAACAGUGUUUUAUUUGUUGCGAUGUAUACCAAUACAACAACUGGUAUUUACAUUUACAGGGAGGAUUGGAAAGAACUUCACAAAAUUAUGCAGAAUAGAAGAGUCUAAACCUGGCUUGCAUGGACUAGCAACAAACUUCAAAAUGAUGAUGGUGAGGAUGAUUGUAGCAGAGGUCACAACAAUGAUGAUGACGAUAAUAAUGAUGAUAAAUAUGAUAAUGAGGACCACUCAUAAUGAACAGAUUUUGCAAAUCAUGUAUUAUGCUGAUAAAGCAUGAACAGCGUUAUUGAUGUUCGUACUAAGUAGGAGUAGUGUUUUUAACUGCAAUACAAUAUGGUACUAUAAUUAAAUUUCAUUGAUAUUGAUAUUUGUUGAUUUAGAAUAUUAAUUGGAUUUCAUAAGAUAAUCAUAAACUUAUUAUUAGAUGUUGAUGUUUUAAUUGUAACGCUUCAGUGAACAAUUUUAAUUGGAAUUCGCACAGUAUAAAUAAAAUAUCAUUAUUAUCAUUAUACAUCGUUUAAUUAGUUUUCAGGUUAAUCCAGUGCUAGUUGUAGUCGCAAAACAUAUCCACAGACACUGAAUUGUACAGUGUAAAAUUAAUAACUUCAUAGCGAAUUAAAUUAUAUUGUGCAUUCA